AUGCAGCUCUACCUUUUUCCUUACUCCCAUCCCAAAAGUCUCAGACAUGUGCAACAAAUGCGAAUUCUCUCCAUCAGGAAGCACCCAUUCAAAGUGGUAGAGAAGAUUCGCCAAUGCAAUCUCCACGGCAGACGUGCCAAACAGAAUCGCAGGACACUGUCGACGACCUGCCCCGAAGGGGGUGAACUCAAAAUUUGUUCCUUUAAAAUCAACAUUGCUAUUCUCAAACCUCUCUGGGUUAAAUGCCUCUGGGUUGUACCAAUAUCUUGGAUCCCGAGAAAUUGCAAAUGCAUUAACAUGUAUCUUUGUGCCUUUGGGAAUGUGAUAACCCAUGAUUUCACAGCCCUCUCUCGACUCACGGGGGACAAGCAUAGGGUUGGGAGGAUGCAACCUAAGAACCUCCUUGAUAACCAUUCGCAUGUAGUUGAGUCCACCAAGGUCAGUAUUAGUGAUGACACCUCGUAG
rnacentral:rRNA from 1 species